CGAUAAGGUUAGGGGUUUCUAUCGGCCUCCAGCAGCAACGAUGGUUGUAGGCCGGCGGAAACUACUUGCUCUUGUCG
rfam:Apis mellifera strain DH4 linkage group 4, whole genome shotgun sequence.